GUUUGGUUUUUUGUUCUUGCGAUAGUUUACUGAGAGUUUUAGUUGUUCUAAUCUGCCACUCUCAGUGUUAUCUUCUGCCUAAAGCCAGUUCCCCAGUGGCACUUAGAAUAACAUGCCAAUUUAUUCAUCUAGGCAGAAUAGAGCUUAGAUUCUCACUGCCUUAACUUAGUUUAGGCCUGUCCACUACAACCCAUUCAGGAACUAAUCUACUGUAGGAAACUGUAAUGCAAUGUGGCAAAUUCAGUGUAUUAUCGAAACAUAGAGCACCUCAGCUGACGAAGUCAUGAAUUUAGCUGUGGGGAUGGGCGGGGAGCCACCUAGGUGAUACCAAAAGUUUGUGUGUAAGUUAGGAGGUUGUUGAAGUAACCCAGGAUAGAGGUAUCUUGGAUUUCUUACUAGGGAGCAAGUUGACUGCAGAUUUGAGAAACAUUACGGAAAUAAACAUGACUUGUUAAUUUCAGUGUCAAUGAGGGUAAGGAAAUAAUCUCUGACUUUUCUAGUCAUCUCCCCAAGAUAUCAGGCUUACAGUGUAUUAACUGUAAAGCCUAAACUUGUUACCUUUUGAGAAAGGAGUGAUCAUUACUUUGUCUACCUUACUGUAAAGAACUGGCGCCCAAGACGGUGGGAACCUUUGAGAGUGGUGCUCUUGGGUUUGGAACGCAUUAAAGAGGUGCCUAGAUGGACUUGGGGGGAGCAGUCCACUAGUUGAAGAAGUUAUUUAUAAGCCAGAUUAGUAAAAUUCUUUUUUUUUGAGACAGAGUCUCGCUCUGUUGCCCAGGCUGGAGUGCAGUGGCACAAUCUCAGCUCACUGCAAGCUCCGCCUCCCAGGUUCACGCCAUUCUCCUGCCUCAGCCUCCUGAGUAGCUGGGACUAUAGGUGCCCGCAACCACGCCCAGCUAACUUUUUGUAUUUUUAGUGGAGACGGGGUUUCACCGUGUUAGCCAGGAUGGUCUUGAUCUCCUGACCUUAUGAUCUGCCUGCCUUGGCCUCCCAAAGUGUGGGGAUUACAGGCGUGAGCCACCGCACCCGGCAGUAAAAUUCUUGAUGCUGUUACUUUCCUUGUGUUAUCCCUGAGCCUUUAGCAAAUGUUUUAGGAUUCAUGUACUUUUAUUUGGACCAAAACAUUAAAGGGGAAGCAGUGUCCCUUGAGGCCACUGUGGUAGUGGCAGUGGCCUGUUAUUGUGAGCUCAUUGAUGGUACAGGUUGUUUCUUAUCUCUAGUCUCUAUUAGAUGAACAGUGGAUAUUGUAUCCCUUCUGCCUAAAUUGAUGCUGGGAACUAGCAGAUGCUCAAAAAGCAUGUAGGGAACUGUUGGAAGUCCCAAAGGGAGAUAUAUUUCUGGGGUCUAAGAGGAAAAGCUACAGGAGCCCAGCCACAAUCCAUCUAUUUAAAAUAAAGAUGUGGUUUUAAGGAAAGUGGUUUCUCUAGAAGUUAGGUAUGACUCCUAGAUACCUAGCUAGGGUGGAUAUUCAUGCUAAGACAGAAGAGGGGUAUAUUUUUUAGCAGAAGCAGAGUUGUAGCUUUAUUUCAUAAAUGUUUUGAGUGUCUACUAUAUUUCAUUUAAAAUAUAAGAGCUU
rnacentral:lncRNA from 10 species